rnacentral:rRNA from 1 species
CCUACGGGUGGCCGCAGUGGGGAAUAUUGCGCAAUGGGCGAAAGCCUUACGCAGCGACGCCGCGUGAGGGAUGAAGGUCUUCGGAUCGUAAACCUCUGUCAGCAGGGAAGAAAGGUCACUGUGCUAAUCAGCAGUGAAUUGACGGUACCUGAAACGGAAGCACCGGCUACCUCCGUGCCAGCAGCCGCGGUAAUACGGAGGGUGCGAGAGUUAAUCGGAAUUACUGGGCGUAAAGCGCUCGUAGGCGGUAGGUAAAGUCAAGGGUGAAAUCCCCGCGCUAAACGUGGGAACUGCCUUUGAUACUGGCAAACUGGAGUGUGUGAGAGGAGAGUGGAAUUCCAGGUGUAGGAGGGAAAUCCGUAGAUAUCUGGAGGAACAUCAGUGGCGAAGGCGACUAUCUGGCACAUAACUGACGCUGAGGAGCGAAAGCGUGGGUAGCAAACAGGAUUAGAUACCCCUGUAGUC